rnacentral:rRNA from 1 species
AUUGAACGCUGGCGGCAGGCCUAACACAUGCAAGUCGAGCGGAUGAGGGGAGCUUGCUCCUGGAUUCAGCGGCGGGCGGGUGAGUAAUGCCUAGGAAUCUGCCUGGUAGUGGGGGAUAACGUCCGGAAACGGGCGCUAAUACCGCAUACGUCCUGAGGGAGAAAGUGGGGGAUCUUCGGACCUCACGCUAUCAGAUGAGCCUAGGUCGGAUUAGCUAGUUGGUGGGGUAAAGGCCUACCAAGGCGACGAUCCGUAACUGGUCUGAGAGGAUGAUCAGUCACACUGGAACUGAGACACGGUCCAGACUCCUACGGGAGGCAGCAGUGGGGAAUAUUGGACAAUGGGCGAAAGCCUGAUCCAGCCAUGCCGCGUGUGUGAAGAAGGUCUUCGGAUUGUAAAGCACUUUAAGUUGGGAGGAAGGGCAGUAAGUUAAUACCUUGCUGUUUUGACGUUACCAACAGAAUAAGCACCGGCUAACUUCGUG